AUCCACUGUAGAGGACAUUAAAAAAGAACACUGAAUCCCAAAGUCACCCACCACGCUAGGAAAGAAAUAUGACAAACAGAAUUUUUACCUCUUCAUUUUCCUUUCUGCUCUCAGCCUGGAGGAUUAUUCCCCUGAAACAAAAGUGUCUAAGUAAUUAAGUGCUUCCCCGAUCUCAGUGACUGGGAAUUUCUCUACAUAAACUGAACUUAGCUGGGCUGUGGGAGGAAAAGUGCCAUGAAGGCAGCAUGAUGAGAGGGAAAGAAAAUGGGGUUCCAGGGCCAAGUGCGGUGGCUCACGCCUGCAGUCCCAGCACUUUGGGAGGGCGAGGCAGGAGGAGAUGGCUUGAGCCCAGGAGUUAGACCAGCCUGGGCAACAUGGUGAAACCCCCUCUCUACAAAAAAUACAAAAAUUAGCUGGGCGUGGUGGCGUGUGCCUGUAGUCCUAGCUACUAGAGAGGCUGAAGUGGGAGGAUUGAUUGAGCCCAGGAGGUUGAGGCUGCUGUGAGUGGUGACUGUGCCACUGUACUCCAGCCUGGGUGAUAGGGCAAGGCCCUAUCUCAAACAAAAAAAAAGGAAAAAGAAAAAAGAAAAUGGGCUUGUAGGUCUGGCUCUGCCCUGAUUCACUAUAUGAUCUUGGACAAACACGGCCCUUUCCCUGGGCCUCAGCAUGUUCAUCUAUGAAAUGAGAAGGCGGGACUCCGAUCUUCUAGCCCAAGUCUGUGUUUGUACAGUGAGAUCCAUCUGUUGACCUCCUCUAAUGAUCCAAGAUGACCAGGACUCCAAGUCCAGCCACUCCUCAAACCAUGCCCAAAGAAGGACUUGGCAGCCCAUUCACUCCUUUCCCAGAACUGAAAAGUCUGUUGCGUAUGGAGGCCCGGGAAUAAGGUAACAGUAAUACUGCCCUACCUUUGUGGAGGCUUUAACUCUCUUUUUUUUUUUUUUUAGAUGGAGUUUUGCUCUUGUUGCACCAGGCUGGAGUGCAAUGGUGUGAUCUCGGCUCACCACAACCUCCGCCUCCCAGGUUCAAGCGAUUCUCCUGCCUCAGCCUCCUGAGUAGCUGGGACUACAGGCAUGCGCUGCCACUAAUGUGCCCGGCCAAUUUUGUAUUUCCAGUAGAGACGGGGUUUCUCCAUGUUGGUCAUGCUGAUCUCAAACUCCCAACCUCAGAAAUACUUAAACCUGAUCAUCCCUUCCAUUCAAAAUGGACACUUAAAGACCUGAGUGGUAAAUGUGUGACUCAAUCAGUACGAAUCGAACUGGCUCUAAAAGCCUCCUGACCCUGCCUCUGGCCUCGCAGUAGAGACGGGGUUUCACCGUGUUCGCCAGGACGGUCUCAAUCUCCUGACCUUGUGAUCCGCCCGCCUCGGCCUCCCAAAGUGCUGGGAUUACAGGCGUGACCCACCGUGCCCGGCCGAACCCAGCUAAACAGUUUUGCUGCUGACAGAGGUAUCCAUGCUCAGCACCGUUGAUGCAAAGUUUUGGAGAAAAGCUUUGAGAAGCCCAUCCUCCAGGGCUGCUCACACAGGCAGCCUAAGCAAGUUCCAUAAAGGAAGGAAUGAAAUGGUAGUCAUGCCUCCCCUGCUCUUGGUUUAGGAAGGAGUGGUGGUGACAGGAAAAUGACCAGGAAGUGGUACUAAGGUGCAACAACAAAGCCAAAGGCAAUGCUUUUCCUUUUUUAACAGCCACAGAUCUGCCCUGAGGCUUCAUAGGCUAGCAGGCCAAGGGCUGCCCACAUAGGGGUAAGUGGGCCGAUGGCCUGGCUCUGGGACAUUAGCCCCUGG